rnacentral:rRNA from 1 species
GACGUAGGGCGCGAGCGUUUGUCCGGAUUUAUUGGGCGUAAAGAGCUCGUAGGCGGUCUGUCGCGUCCGUUGUGAAAACUCGAGGCUCAACCUCGGGCUUGCAGUGGAUACGGGCAGACUAGAGUGCGGUAGGGGAGACUGGAAUUCCCGGUGUAGCGGUGAAAUGUGUAGAGAUCGGGAGGAACACCGGUGGCGAAGGCGGGUCUCUGGGCAUUCCCUGACGCUGAGGCGCGAAAGCGUGGGGAGCAACGGG